GGGCUUUUCUGUGACUGUGGUUGUAGUGGUGGGCUUUUCAGUGGUGGUGACACCAGGAGUGCUGGGCUUUUCAGUGGUUGUGGGCCCAGGAGUGCUCGGAUUUUCUGUUGGUACUGUGGUAGGUUUUUCUGUGAUAGUGGUUGUAGUGCUGGGCUUUUCUGUGGUUGUGGCACCAGGAGUGCUGGGCUUUUCUGUUGGUACUGUGGUAGGUUUUUCUGUGAUAGCAGUUGUUGUGGUGGGUUUUUCUGUGGUGGUGGCACUAGGAGUGCUGGGCUUCUCUGUGAUUGUAGUUGUUGUGGUGGGCUUUUCUGUGGUUGUGGCACCAGGAGUGCUGGGCUUUUCUGUGAUUGUG